rnacentral:rRNA from 1 species
AGAGUUUGAUCCUGGCUCAGGACGAACGCUGGCGGCGUGCUUAACACAUGCAAGUCGAGCGGGCUAAUCCUUCGGGAGAGGCUAGCGGCGGACGGGUGAGUAACACGUAGGCAACCUGCCUGUAAGAUCGGGAUAACUAUCGGAAACGAUAGCUAAGACCGGAUAAUUGGUUUCCUCGCAUGAGGGAAUCAUGAAAAGCG